CAUUCACGCGUUACUCACCCGUCCGAAGGGGGAAUUCGCGGCCGCUAAAUUCAAUUCGCCCUAUAGUGAGUCGUAUUAAGAGAGGAAAUGGUCAGCCGCUACAGGAUGGCCUCGCGGCCUAUCAGCUAGUUGGUGGGGUAACGGCCUACCAAGGCGACGACGGGUAGCUGGCGUGAGAGCGCGAACAGCCACACUGGGACUGAGACACGGCCCAGACUCCUACGGGAGGCAGCAGUGGGGAAUCUUGCGCAAUGGGCGAAAGCCUGACGCAGCGACGCCGCGUGCGGGAAGAAGGCCUUCGGGUUGUAAACCGCUUUUAGGAGGGAAGAAGCGAAAGUGACGGUACCUCCAGAAGAGGGACCGGCCAACUACGUGCCAGCAGCCGCGGUAAUACGUAGGGUCCAAGCGUUGUCCGGAAUUAUUGGGCGUAAAGAGCUCGUAGGCGGUCCGUUAAGUCGAAUGUGAAAUCUCAGGGCUCAACCCUGAAAUCGCAUUCGAUACUGGCGGACUUGAGGCAGGUAGGGGAAGGUGGAAUUCCUGGUGUAGCGGUGAAAUGCGCAGAUAUCAGGAGGAACACCGGUGGCGAAGGCGGCCUUCUGGGCCUGUACUGACGCUGAGGAGCGAAAGCGUGGGGAGCAAAGGGAUUAGAUACCCCUGUAG
rnacentral:rRNA from 1 species